rnacentral:lncRNA from 1 species
AGACCGUGGCAUGAGUCGCCCAGCGCUGGUUCCUGGAUCCCAUACCAGCUCUUUAUCCCCAGCAAGAAAGAGCGCAGCCACAAUGAGGUGGGAGAGCGCCCACAGCAGACCCUCGAGAAUCUGUGACCUGGGAAGGUCACAG